UGUGUGUGAAGCACUGUGUUGUGCCCGUCUUGGUGCGCUGCUGGUGGCUGUCUAACUCUCUCUCCCCCUCAGGCUGGAAUUGUAUGAUUGUGAAGACAUCGCGAACCUUAAAGGUUGAGAAGUGAACGGAUUAUACGGCGAACUGAGACGACGUGAAAAAGGGGAUUGGAAGCGGCAUUGAUGUGAGUACUAAGAACCAGUCGAAAGUGCCCUGUAUAUUGACCUGGCGUUGUGUAGAUCUCUCCAGGAGGAGGAGGGCGGCCCUACCCCCUAAUAUAGCGUGGUGGGAGAGCCGAAGGAAUACUUAUUGAAGUAGUCACAACGACGACAUCACUAGCUAGGCCGCAUAUUCCAUCGCCAGAUCCGAACCAAGCGAAGUGAAGGAAGACGGGUGUCCUUUUCGUACACUGAGUGUGGUGGAUAAACCCCCGCCUUCACGCACUUCGUCGCGGGAGGACAAGGAGACUGCUGGUCCUAGCCUAGUUCAGUACAGUAUAUGUUGUGGGCGUGCUUCAGAUCUCCGGAGAUAGCACGGUACGCUGUGUCCAGCCCAGAGGUGAAAGCCAUCCAAAGCAGAGUAACUGUGCUUUGUGUCCAAGUUGAUACCUGUGGAGAGGAAAGGAAAGAGAGAUUGAUAUCUGUGGAGAGAAAAGGAAAGAGAGAGUGAGUAACACAAGGAGAAACAGAGGAAACCUGUACUUACGCCGCUGCCUGUGGAGAAAGAGAAAGCGAGUGAGCACCCAAGGAACGAACUGUGUGAACCAGUACUUACUGUGAGCUGUAAUCAGCGAAGAGGUGAGAGCAAAACCAAGCUGAACUAACUGUGCCUGUGUGUCCCAGCCGUUGCCUGUGGAGAAAGAGAAAGAGAGUGAGCACCUCGAGAACGAACUGUGUGAACCAGUACUUACCGUGAGCUGUAUUCAGCGAAGAGGAGGAAGAAGGAGGGCGCUACGGAUACCUAAGACUCAGGCCGGGGCCCGAGUCCCACGCCCCGGAUCCCCGUGGCCCCCUUGCUCCCUGACCUCUUCCCGGCCAUAGCCCAUCUGGAGGGCCGAGUCAGAGUUUAGUUUUAAUUGCCCUUUCCCUAUUCCCCAAGCU
ensembl:lncRNA